UACAGAGGGGGAGAUCGUAUUGUGAAUUAUUGGGCGUAAAGCGCGUGUAGGCGGCUUUGCAAGUCGGGUGUGAAAGCCCUCAGCUCAACUGAGGAAGUGCGCCCGAAACUGCAGAGCUUGAGUGCCGGAGAGGGUGGCGGAAUUCCCCAAGUAGAGGUGAAAUUCGUAGAUAUGGGGAGGAACACCGGUGGCGAAGGCGGCCACCUGGACGUGGUCCUGACACUCAUGAGCGAAAGCGUGGGGAGCGAUCCGG
rnacentral:rRNA from 1 species